ensembl:lincRNA
UUCUUAAUACACACAAUGAAUACGCAAGGAGAAAAUGCAUGAGUAAGAAAUGUGUUAACUAAGAGAGCAUACAAAAGGCUGAUGCCUCAACAGUAAAGGAAUUUACCAAAAGUAGUGCUUGAUUAUUUCUCUCAUCAUGAGGACACAAAUUAAUUAGACACAAAUGAAUAGAGGAAAGGAUUAAUUUGGAUCAAAGUUUAUGGAGAUGCCUCACAGUUUAUAGAGAUUUCAGUCCAUAGUCAGCUGGCUCCAAGGCAGGGUGGCAUGGCAGAGGAGGUUGCUCAUGGCAUGGCAGCAGGAGGCAGAGAGAAAUCGAGGGAGGAGCGAGAAAGAUAUCUCCUUCCAGGCCCAGUGACCCACCAACUCCAAUCAGGCUUUGCCUGUCAACAUCACAUUUAGUUAUGAACUCAUCAGUGGACUGAUCCAAUCACCUCCCAAAACCCCACCCAGACCACAUAGGCUCUGGGGGAAUGGUUAUAUAUAAGCUAUAGCAGGUACAAUAAGUCAGAAGGAAGUUUAUUGAAAGAUACACUAUGAGAGACAGCAGGGGCAGCUUUUAUGUGAUCGCUGACCCGUGCCAAGGCCCAUGGGGGUUUGUGACACAUAGCAAGAUUGGACAAUAGGUUAUUUUUGGUGUGGGGUAGACAGCCCUUGGGAUAUGAUCACAAGGAGGUGAACAGCUUCUUGGACAAGACUGCAUUUGAGCCAUGCGUUCCCCUCGACAAAAGCCAACCUCGCCCUCAUCUGCCUUGGCAGAACCACGUGUUCAACUCUGACAAAUGACAACCCCUGCUCAGGCUGUUCUGGCCCACAGACACCCCCUCCUGGAAAAUGUUCUGGCCCACAGACAUCCUCCCCGAAAGUUAGCUUUAAAAACCCCACGCUUUGCUCAGCUUGGGGCUGUCCUAGUCCAGUGGGCAGACCACCAUGUUGCUCUCCCCUGCCAAUAAAGAUUCCUCUUGUGUCAGAAGGUCUGGUCUGGUUCUGUGUGGGUCUCGGCCCGAACAUAUCAGGAAGGGAUAGUUUUUUUGAAAUGCAAAUCUACCUCCUGAUGGCUUCUAGUUCCACCAGGAAUGGUGAGUCCAAGACAUCUAUUGAACAAGUGGAGACGGCUUUGGUAUAAUUAAUAUGUAGAGAGAUUUGACUUAGCUGGCAGUAGGAUGGGGGAGAGCAUGGACUAAGGAACCAGUGGCCUCAGUUGCAUGGGGUUUAUUCACUGAGACAAAGCACUGGAUGAAGACGUGUGGAGUGAAUAGAUGACUGUCAGUUAGUGCUGGAGCUGCCCCUAAAUUCACUGUGGUACCAGUUAACUUGAUUGUAAAUUUUAGUCCAAUAGUGAUCAGUCAUAUAGGCACAUUUGUCCAGAAUUGAAAGGGUCAGAUCGAUUGGAUGAGGCCUAUUUAGAGUGGAGCUUUUCAGACGUUGCUUGCCAUUUGUCUUGGUUACUUUCCUCUCGUUGCUGGGACAAAAUACCUGACACCCAAAAUUAAGGAAGGAAAAGUUUAUUUUGCUUACAGUUUGUGGAGGUUUCAGUCCGUACUUGGCAAGCUACAAGGCAGAGUGGCACAUGGCAGAGAGCUACAGCUCAUGGCAGCAGAACACAGCAAAGCAACAAGCACACACAAGGGAGGAAAUGGCCAGAAGCACCCUCUUCCUCUCCCUUACAUAUGCAAACUGUCCACCCCAGGGCAGGUGUAGCUCUCACACCCAUAGUCAGUCAAGCUCUAAAAGCCUGCCCCAUGGCCACAUGAGGCUUUGGGGGGACACCCAGACACAAACCAUAAC